rnacentral:rRNA from 1 species
AGUGAACGCUGGCGGUAGGCCUAACACAUGCAAGUCGAACGGCAGCACAGUAAGAGCUUGCUCUUACGGGUGCGAGUGGCGGACGGGUGAGGAAUACAUCGGAAUCUACUUUUUCGUGGGGGAUAACGUAGGGAAACUUACGCUAAUACCGCAUACGACCUACGGGUGAAAGCAGGGGAUCUUCGGACCUUGCGCGAUUGAAUGAGCCGAUGUCGGAUUAGCUAGUUGGCGGGGUAAAGGCCCACCAAGGCGACGAUCCGUAGCUGGUCUGAGAGGAUGAUCAGCCACACUGGAACUGAGACACGGUCCAGACUCCUACGGGAGGCAGCAGUGGGGAAUAUUGGACAAUGGGCGCAAGCCUGAUCCAGCCAUACCGCGUGGGUGAAGAAGGCCUUCGGGUGGUAAAGCCCUUUUGUUGGGAAAGAAAAGCAGCAGGUUAAUACCCCGCUGUUCUGACGGUACCCAAAGAAUAAGCACCGGCUAACUUCGUG